GUCUUUCUAGCAAGGCCUUGUGAUCAGUUCUCUUCCCAGACAGAUGGCAGGGGUUAGAGGAACUCAUCAUAAGGAAGCAACAGCUAUCCUGGACCUGACUAUAACCUCAGAGGACACAAACACAACUUAGAUGACUUGCAUGAGCAAGGCCAUAAGCACAAGUGACCAGGGGCUAUGGAAAGGCACUUGAUGCCUUCUAAGGCAAGGACAGUCUCCAAGGCUAGAGUAGUACUCCUGUCACAGGCAGCCAUCCAGCAGUUUGCCUAUAACACAGGAGUAGACCUGGGAGUCCAGUGCAUAGGUGUAGGGCAGAUCUAUCAGAGCUAAAACACAAGUUCAGAUCAGAAGCACAGUGUGGGCAGAUCUGGGCAGCAGGUUACAGGGAACAGAACAGUAGAACCCACAACCCUCAAGGACGGGUCCCUAACAAAAUUGUCUAGCCCUCAGCUCUGGUGGGUCCUGAUGACCAAUCAGUGUCAUGGAGGGAUGAUUGCCAGUGGGUCA